rnacentral:rRNA from 1 species
UACGUAGGGAGCAAGCGUUGUCCGGAUUUAUUGGGCGUAAAGAGCGUGUAGGCGGCCAGACAGGUCCGCUGUGAAAACUCGAGGCUCAACCUCGAGAUGUCGGUGGAAACCGUCUGGCUAGAGUCCGGAAGAGGAGAGUGGAAUUCCCGGUGUAGCGGUGAAAUGCGCAGAUAUCGGGAAGAACACCCGUGGCGAAGGCGGCUCUCUGGGACGGUACUGACGCUGAGACGCGAAAGCGUGGGGAGCGAACAGG